rnacentral:rRNA from 1 species
CAUGCCGCGUGCAGAAGCGGUCUAUGGAUUGUAAACUGCUUUUAUACAGGAAGAAACCCUCCCGUGUGGGAGCUUGCGGUACUGUAGGAAUAAGGAUCGGCUAACUCCGUGCCAGCAGCCGCGGUAAUACGGAGAUCCGAGCCCGAUCCGGAAUCUUGGGUUUAAAGGUCCGUAGGCGGUCUUACGAUAAGUCAGUGGUGAAAGCCCUCGCUCAACUAUGGACUGCCAUUGAUCUGUAAGACUUGAAUGCUUAGGAAGUAACUAGAAUAUGUAGUGUAGCGGUGAAAUGCUUAGAUAUUAUGGAAUACCAAUUGCGAAGGCAGGUUACUACUAAGUGAUUGACGCUGAUGGACGAAACGUGGGGAGCGACAGGUUAGAUACCCUGGUAGUCCACCCGUAAACGAUGGAUACUAGCUGUUCGGAGCAAUCUGAGUGGCUAAGC